rnacentral:misc_RNA from 1 species
GUAGGUGAACCUGCGGAAGGAUCAUUAUCACGUAUCCACGUUAUAAACCAAUUCGUGAACUGUUUUACUCACCUUUGGGCUAUGGCCGCUGUCGAUUGACACAUGGGUUCAUUGUAUGAUUAUGAACUCGUCAAUUGGCAAUUAAGGCUGUUUCUCCGAAGCGUAUUUAAUCAUACUUUUAAACAUUAACCACUUGAACACUAUGAAAUUUUCUUUGUUUGAACUGAUUUGUUUCUUACUCAGUGGCGCA